UCCUGGCUUAGGAUGAACGCUAGCGGCAGGCUUAACACAUGCAAGUCGAGGGGCAUCGGGAGUAGCAAUACUGCCGGCGACCGGCGCAAGGGUGCGUAACGCGUGAGCAACAUGCCCGUAUCAGGGGGAUAAUCCAUGGAAACGUGGUCUAAUACCCCAUAGUAAUUAUGUAAGGCAUCUUAUAUAAUUUAAAGCUUUGGUGGAUACGGAUUGGCUCGCGUGACAUUAGCUGGAUGGUAAGGUAACGGCUUACCAUGGCUACGAUGUCUAGGGGUUCUGAGAGGAAGGUCCCCCACACUGGAACUGAGACACGGUCCAGACUCCUACGGGAGGCAGCAGUGAGGAAUAUUGGACAAUGGAUGGAAAUCUGAUCCAGCCAUGCCGCGUGCAAGGAAGACGGCCCUAUGGGUUGUAAACUGCUUUUGUAUGGGAGCAAUAAGGGCUACGUGUAGUCCGAUGAGAGUACCAUACGAAUAAGCACCGGCUAACUCCGUGCCAGCCGCCGC
rnacentral:rRNA from 1 species